rnacentral:rRNA from 1 species
GAUGAACGCUGGCGGCGUGCCUAAUACAUGCAAGUCGAGCGAACGGACGAGAAGCUUGCUUCUCUGAUGUUAGCGGCGGACGGGUGAGUAACACGUGGAUAACCUACCUAUAAGACUGGGAUAACUUCGGGAAACCGGAGCUAAUACCGGAUAAUAUUUUGAACCGCAUGGUUCAAAAGUGAAAGACGGUCUUGCUGUCACUUAUAGAUGGAUCCGCGCUGCAUUAGCUAGUUGGUAAGGUAACGGCUUACCAAGGCAACGAUGCAUAGCCGACCUGAGAGGCUGAUCGGCCACACUGGAGCUGAGCCACGGUCCAGGCUCCUACGGGAGGCAGCAGUAGGGAAUCUUCCGCAAUAGGCGAGAGCCUGACGGAGCAACGCCGCGUGAGUGAUGAAGGUCUUCGGAUCGUAAAACUCUGUUAUUAGGGAAGAACAUAUGUGUAAGUAACUGUGCACAUCUUGACGGUACCUAAUCAGAAAGCCACGGCUAACUACGUG